rnacentral:rRNA from 1 species
GGGGAAGUUCUAGAUAUUUUUCCGUACUUUGUAUCUGGCGUACUUCACCUAAUUUCCUCCGCAGUCUUAGGCUUCGGUGGCAUUUAUCACGCGCUUCUGGGACCCGAGACUCUUGAGGAAUCUUUUCCAUUCUUUGGUUAUGUCUGGAAAGAUAGAAAUAAAAUGACUACAAUUUUGAGUAUUCACUUAAUUUUGUUAGGUCUAGGUGUUUUUCUUCUAGCACUCAAGGCUCUUUAUUUUGGCGGUGUAUAUGAUACCUGGACCCCUGGGGGGGGGGGUGUAAGAAAAAUUACCAAUUUGACCCUUAGUCCCAGUGUUAUAUUUGGUUAUUUACUAAAAUCUCCUUUUGGUGGAGAAGGGUGGAUUGUUAGUGUAGAUGAUUUCAACCUUUUUUCGAAAGAACAAAAAAAAAACACCAAUGAACAGAAGAAAGUGCUAUGGGUCAGAAACGGGAGAUGCAAAUUCCAACCUGAUCGUGUUGCACAGACAUAUUCCUCUACCGAAAGUUUGAUCCUGUCCUCUGCGUGCUCUACUUGA